GCUUACCAUGCAGUCGAGCGGUAGCACAGGGGAGCUUGCUCCUUGGGUGACGAGCGGCGGACGGGUGAGUAAUGUCUGGGAAACUGCCUGAUGGAGGGGGAUAACUACUGGAAACGGUAGCUAAUACCGCAUAACGUCGCAAGACCAAAGAGGGGGACCUUCGGGCCUCUUGCCAUCAGAUGUGCCCAGAUGGGAUUAGCUAGUAGGUGGGGUAAUGGCUCACCUAGGCGACGAUCCCUAGCUGGUCUGAGAGGAUGACCAGCCACACUGGAACUGAGACACGGUCCAGACUCCUACGGGAGGCAGCAGUGGGGAAUAUUGCACAAUGGGCGCAAGCCUGAUGCAGCCAUGCCGCGUGUGUGAAGAAGGCCUUCGGGUUGUAAAGCACUUUCAGCGAGGAGGAAGGUGGUGAGCUUAAUACGUUCAUCAAUUGACGUUACUCGCAGAAGAAGCACCGGCUAACUCCGUGCCAGCAGCCGCGGUAAUACGGAGGGUGCAAGCGUUAAUCGGAAUUACUGGGCGUAAAGCGCACGCAGGCGGUUUGUUAAGCAGAUGUGAAAUCCCCGGGCUCAACCUGGGAACUGCAUUUGAAACUGGCAAGCUAGAGUCUCGUAGAGGGGGGUAGAAUUCCAGGUGUAGCGGUGAAAUGCGUAGAGAUCUGGAGGAAUACCGGUGGCGAAGGCGGCCCCCUGGACGAAGACUGACGCUCAGGUGCGAAAGCGUGGGGAGCAACAGGAUUAGAUACCCUGGUAGUCCACGCUGUAAACGAUGUCGAUUUGGAGGUUGUGCCCUUGAGGCGUGGCUUCCGGAGCUAACGCGUUAAAUCGACCGCCUGGGGAGUACGGCCGCAAGGUUAAAACUCAAAUGAAUUGACGGGGGCCCGCACAAGCGGUGGAGCAUGUGGUUUAAUUCGAUGCAACGCGAAGAACCUUACCUACUCUUGACAUCCAGAGAACUUACCAGAGAUGCAUUGGUGCCUUCNGGAACUCUGAGACAGGUGCUGCAUGGCUGUCGUCAGCUCGUGUUGUGAAAUGUNGGUUAAGUCCCGCANGAGCGCANCCUUAUCCUUUGUUGCCAGCGGUUCGGCCGGGNCUCAAAG
rnacentral:rRNA from 1 species